rnacentral:rRNA from 1 species
AUGGAACAAUGUAGGCAAGGGAAGUCGGCAAAACGGAUCCGUAACUUCGGGAAAAGGAUUGGCUCUGAGGACUGGGCUCGGGGGUCCCGGCCCCGAACCCGUUGGCUGUCGGCGGAUUGCUCGAGCUGCUCACGCGGCGAGAGCGGGUCGCCGCGUGCCGGCCGGGGGACGGACCGGGAAUCGCCCCUUCGGGGGCUUUCCCCGAGCAUGAAACAGUCGACUCAGAACUGGUACGGACAAGGGGAAUCCGACUGUUUAAUUAAAACAAAGCAUUGCGAUGGUCUUCGCGGAUGCUGA